rnacentral:lncRNA from 1 species
GGCUCAGCAGUUAACACUGACUGCUCUUAUAGAGGUUCUAAGUUAAAUUCCUAACAACCACAUGGUGGCUCACAACUAGAUGCCCUCUUCUGGUGUGUCUGAAUAAAGCUACAGUGUACUCAUACAAAUAAAAUACAUAAAUCUCAAAAAAACAAAAAGAAAAACAGGAAGUCUUUCCUAAACAUUUAAGUUUUUAAAAAAAGUUAUUUAUUUGUGUGUAUGCAUGCAUUGUUCAGUAAUGAAAAGUAUGUGAGCAAAAUUUGAAUGUAUGCAGAAAAUAUAAAAAGCUAGUCAGCCUGCUUGCUUCCUUCCCUCCUUUCUUUUUUUUUCUUUUCUUUUCUUUCUUUCUCUCUCUCUCUUCCUUCCUUUCUUUCUUUCUUUCUUUCUUUCUUUCUUUCUCUCUCUCUCUCUCUCUCUCUCUUUCUUUUUCUUUCUUUCUUUCUUUUUUUAUUUUUUUUUUGUUGUUGUUGUUUGUUUGUUUUUCAAGACAGGGUUUCUCUAUCCCUGGCUGUCCCAGAACUCCCUCUGUAGACCAGGGUGACCCCAAAUGCCUGCCUUUGUUUCCCAAGUGCUGGGUUUAAAGCUGUGCACCAUCACCACCCAGCUAUAAAAAGCUUUCUUAAUAUAAUAAUCUUAAAUUAUUAGAAGUGUAGUAAACAGUGGGGGCAGUACAUAAGAGGCACCUACCUACCCCUGCCCCCCAAACUCUCCAGAUCAUCCUCUGUGGUGUGACUCAUGUCCUAAGUGAGUGCCAUCUCUUGCUGUAUUUCAAGUGUGGGAAGAAAACAUGGCACUAGGUCUGUACAGGCAGAAGACCUGUCUUCCUACUUCCCACACCUCCUGAGGACUGGAUAAGAUGCUGGAUGCAGUUACUUGUCAAGAGUUUUGCUGGAGCUUCAGGAUUUCCAGACUACAGCAGUGAGCAGCAAACAGCUGGCUACAAAAGUUAUUCACCCUAUCCUUAAAUGCGGGCAUCCUGCCAGCUGUGUGCUUAUGAGUUGCAUACUAUAUUUUCAAGUUGCAGUUUGUGAGAGUUCCUUGGGAAUGCUUACUUCAUUUACGACUUUUAUAAACAUUCCAGUCAUCUUUGAUUUUGGAUGUCCUGUUCUUGACUUGGCAUAGACUUCUUUCUUGUAUAGUAGUGAAUAACAGAAUGUAAGCAGAUGAAACCAUUUCACCAAAUGGUGAGCUUCUCCUCAGUGUAGAGGAGGUUUUUUUUUUUUUUUUUUAGAUUAUUGAUACAUUUUUUUCUUCUUCCUCCCUCCUCUUCCUCCUCCCCCUCCUCUUCUUCCUCCUCCUCCUCUGCUGCUUGUGUGUGUGUGUGUUCAUGCACACGUGCAUGUACACUUUUUUCGAGACAGGAUUUAUUUUUCCGUUCCUGGCCUGGGACUCAGAGAUCCAUCUGCCCCUGCCUCCUAGGUGCUGGGGGUCAAAGGCGUCUACCACCCUGCCCAGCUUUGACACAGUUUUUAGUCCUCAGUAUGUGUAUGACUGCCAGGAGAGUUCUUGACAGAUUUGAGUUUGGGUUACAUUUUUUUUUUAAAUAAAAACAGGAUGAUUUCUUAUUCACAUUUAAAAGUGAUCAUGUGCCUUUCUGGAAUUUUUUCUAAAUAUCACUAGCAGAUCAACUGAAAGAAAAUUAGUCUGACUAUUCUUCCUUUCUUAAAUUAUGGUGACAGGCAGUGUCAACCUACUGUGUCACCUCACAGCGAAACAGCCCCAAUUCCAGUUCCUACUCAAGUAAGGAAUUAUCAGCGCAUAGAACAGAAUCUUAUAUCCACUGCCAGCUCUGGCACAAACCCACAUGGUUCUCCAAGGUAAGCCAGUGUCUUCCUUCUUUUUAUUUGUCUAAUUGGUUUUUGUUGUUGUUGUUAUUAUUGAUACUCAAAAGAUUGUGAUGACUAUCACACACAUGUGAUAGUCUAGAAAUAUAAUUGCUGAGGAAGAACUUGGGCUGGAGAUGUAGCUUAGUCAUGUAUGCUUGCCUACCAAACACAAAGCCCUUCAUUCAGUUGCAAACACUGUAUACGCUGUGCUGUACUUGUAUAGUACUGAAUGGCAGAAUGUGAGUAGUUAAAAUCAUGUCAUGAAAUAUAAACUUUUCCUGUCCUUGCAGAGGAACUUUUUUUUUUUUUAGUUGAAAAAAUAACUAAGGGGCUGGAGAGAUGGCUCAGCGGUUAAGAGCACUGACUGCUCUUCCAGAGGUCCUGAGUUCAAUUCCCAGCAACAACAUGGGGGCUCACAACCAUCUGUAAUGGAAUCCGAUGCCCUCUUCUGGUGUGUCUGAAGAGAGCAAUGGUGUACUCACGUACGUUAAAUAAAUAAAUAAAUCUU